rnacentral:rRNA from 1 species
AGAAAAGAGUGUGCUCGACUGUGUGUCUAUGCCCCCAAUAUCCCGGGGUAUACACGCGGGCUACAGUGGACUAGACAAUGGGUAACCACCCAAAAGGGAGGGAAAUCUCUUUUAAACCUGUUUUUUUUUGAUUGAGGGGUGUGUAACUCCCCCUCAUGAAUAGAAAAUCCAUAAUACUCGUUUUUCAAAACUGUGCGGAAAAUAUCCCUGCGCUUUUUGCAAAA